AUGGAUGAUCGGGCAACCGCUCACCUGUCAGGUGAGAGGAAAGUCCGAACACCAACGAGUACUGUGUUUCCUAACGGGAAGAUUCGGGCAACCGGAUAGAAGAAAGUGCCACAGAAAAAUAAACUACCCGGCAUGUAUGCUGGGAAAAGGUGAAAAGGUGAGGUAAGAGCUCACCGUCCCGCAUCGCAAGGUGGGGAGCAGGGCAAACCUCACAGGGUGCAAGCUCAUGUAGGUCGUACGCCGCUCGUCGUUAUACGGCCGGGUGGAGUGCUUAAGUUCCGGGGCGACCCGGGAAUUAGAUAAAUGAUUGCCUCUGACAGAAUUCGGCUUACAGAUCAUCCCAUGAAA
rnacentral:RNase_P_RNA from 1 species